UACGUAGGGUGCGAGCGUUAAUCGGAAUUACUGGGCGUAAAGGGCGCGUAGGCGGCCUUCUAAGUCAGACGUGAAAUCCCCCGGCUUAACCUGGGAACUGCGUCUGAUACUGGGAGGCUUGAGUAUGGGAGAGGGAUGUAGAAUUCCAGGUGUAGCGGUGAAAUGCGUAGAUAUCUGGAGGAAUACCGGUGGCGAAGGCGGCAUCCUGGACCAUAACUGACGCUGAGGCGCGAAAGCUAGGGGAGCAAACGGG
rnacentral:rRNA from 1 species